GAACUUCAUUCCUCAACAUUCCUUGCAGCUAAGGAAAACCAAGUGACUGAGUUCUGGUCAAUGAAAUAUGGAUAGAAGUAAGCACGGGAGAGCCACUACCCAGUGUUGACCGAGAGAUAAGGAAGAACCAGGGAAAACUUCUGUCCUGCAGCUUGAAGAGUUGAGAGUUGUGCUUUGCACAGUGAUGGUGAGAACUACCCAGAAAGCAUGGGAAAGGGCAUCAGCGAGCCUUUACUCACGUCUCCUGGGAGGUUAUGCGAACUGAGAAUGGCAUCAUUUCCAGCUACUGGGACCCUGUAGAAACAAACGCAGCUGCCAAUGUGUUGGGGAGAAAAGAGGCAUUCCAGGAUGACAGACGUGGUUGGGACAGGGAACUGGGAUGACCACUGGGCCUCUUGUUUGAGCCAUGGGGCCACUGGUAACAGGGCAUCAGGUUUUGAUGAGUCUCUUCUGAGUUCUCACAACACUGCUUAGGACCUGAGUUUCCAUGCGGAAGGCCAGCUGCAAUCGUCAGUGACACAGUGACGUGCAGCCAGCAGUACCCCGCCCCCGUCCCCUGGUCUCAGCAUCUAAGACCAGACCCCUAAAAUCGCAAGCUGAAGGAAACCAUUUGGUAGCAAGGAACUGGCUCCAUCCAUCCUUCUCCAGCCAGAAUGGCUCAAGAAAAGCAUGGGUGUUAAGCCCUGAAGUCAUUUGUUAUGUCCCACAGCAUAAAUGGGGGAGGAAAGUCUGCUAAUCCACUAAUGGCUUCCUCAAACAGCACAUAAUUCAGAACCUUUGCUGUUUCCCAGCUGACAAAACGCCCUGUUAAUAAAAACAUCUCAAAGCAGCCCAUUCCCAAUCUUGUUUUGACUUUGGAAUUAAUGUCUGGUCUCCUGUGUUUUGAGUUAACAAGAUUUCCCUGCAUGUGCUACGCAGCUCCAUCCCUCACAACUCAAUCAAGCACUGGCCUGACUUCAUUGGUGUGGUUGAAGGCAGGGUGGAGCCAUCGACCGCUCUCCUCACGUGGCAUGAAUUCCCCUUUCUCAAGCACAGAGCCCCAUGCGACAGGCAAACACCCCUCAUUCCAGGCAGCGGUGGCUGCAACGGGCAUGCUCAGCGGGGUGGAUGGAGGUUUGUCAUCCAGGUCAAAUAACGUGAAGGUGUCUGACACAAGCAGUCGUUGUCACUUAGUAAUGUCUUCUCUCGUCGCUGUCCUGUGAACAGAGAGCUUUGCGGCUCUCCCCAGGUUAACUCAGCCCCGCAACACAAAGCAUACAAGAAGCUCACAGGAUGGAGACCUAUCUCUGUCUGCCCCUUUUA